rnacentral:rRNA from 1 species
UGAUCCUGGCUCAGGACGAACGCUGGCGGCGUGCCUAAUACAUGCAAGUCGAGCGGAUUUAUCCUUCGGGAUAAGUUAGCGGCGGACGGGUGAGUAACACGUAGGUAACCUGCCUAUAAGACUGGGAUAACUAUCGGAAACGAUAGCUAAGACCGGAUAACUGGUUUUCUCGCAUGAGAGAAUUAUGAAACACGGAGCAGUCUGUGGCUUAUAGAUGGGCCUGCGGCGCAUUAGCUAGUUGGUAGGGUAACGGCCUACCAAGGCGGCGAUGCGUAGCCGACCUGAGAGGGUGAACGGCCACACUGGGACUGAGACACGGCCCAGACUCCUACGGGAGGCAGCAGUAGGGAAUCUUCCGCAAUGGACGCAAGUCUGACGGAGCAACGCCGCGUGAGUGAUGAAGGUUUUCGGAUCGUAAAGCUCUGUUGCCCUAGACGAACAGCAAGAGGAGUAACUGCCUUUUGUGUGACGGUAUAGGAGAAGAAAGCCCCGGCUAACUACGUGCCAGCAGCCGCGGUAAUACGUAGGGGGCAAGCGUUGUCCGGAAUUAUUGGGCGUAAAGCGCGCGCAGGCGGUCAAUUAAGUUGGGUGUUUAAGCCCGGGGCUCAACCCCGGUUCGCAUCCAAAACUGGUUGACUUGAGAGUAGGAGAGGAAAGUGGAAUUCCACGUGUAGCGGUGAAAUGCGUAGAGAUGUGGAGGAACACCAGUGGCGAAGGCGACUUUCUGGCCUAUAACUGACGCUGAGGCGCGAAAGUGUGGGGGAGCAACAGGAUUAGAUACCCUGGUAGUCCACGCCGUAAACGAUGCAUACUAGGUGUUGGGGAUUCGAUUCCUCGGUGCCGAAAGUAACACAGUAAGUAUGCCGCCUGGGGAGUACGCUCGCCAGAGUNGAACUCAAAG